AUUGAACGCUGGCGGAAUGCUUUACACAUGCAAGUCGAACGGCAGCACGGGUGCUUGCACCUGGUGGCGAGUGGCGAACGGGUGAGUAACAUAUCGGAACGUGCCCAGUAAUGGGGGAUAACUAACCGAAAGGUUAGCUAAUACCGCAUACGCCCUGACGGGGAAAGCGGGGGAUCGAAAGACCUCGCGUUAUUGGAGCGGCCGAUAUCUGAUUGGCUAGAUGGUAGGGUAAAGGCCUACCAAGGCGACGAUCAGUAGCUGGUCUGAGAGGAUGAUCAGCCACACUGGGACUGAGACACGGCCCAGACUCCUACGGGAGGCAGCAGUGGGGAAUUUUGGACAAUGGGCGAAAGCCUGAUCCAGCCAUUCCGCGUGAGUGAAGAAGGCCUUCGGGUUGUAAAGCUCUUUCGGCAGGAACGAAACGGUGCUCCCUAAUACGGGGCGCUAAUGACGGUACCUGAAGAAGAAGAAGCACCGGCUAACUACGUGCCAGCCGCCGCGGUAA
rnacentral:rRNA from 1 species